GGAGAGGUGGCCGAGCGGCUGAAGGCUGCGGUUUGCUAAACCGCCGUACCGGUAACACUGGUACCGGGGGUUCGAAUCCCCCCCUCUCCGCCA
rnacentral:tRNA from 1 species